AUACGGAGGGUCCGAGCGUUAUCCGGAAUUAUUGGGUUUAAAGGGUCCGUAGGCGGGCCGGUAAGUCAGUGGUGAAAGUCUGUAGCUCAACUAUAGAAUUGCCUUUGAUACUGCCGGUCUUGAGUUAUGGUGAAGUUGCCGGAAUAUGUGGUGUAGCGGUGAAAUGCAUAGAUAUCACAUAGAACACCGAUUGCGAAGGCAGGUGACUAACCAUAUACUGACGCUGAUGGACGAAAGCGUGGGGAGCGAACAGGAUUAGACACCCUGGUAGUCCACGCCGUAAACGAUGGAUACUAGCUGUCCGGGUCCUUGAGACCUGGGCGGCCAAGCGAAAGUGAUAAGUAUCCCACCUGGGGAGUACGUUCGCAAGAAUGAA
rnacentral:rRNA from 1 species